UACGUAGGGGGGCAAGCGUUUGUCCGGAUUUAUUGGGCGUAAAGAGCGCGCAGGCGGUCGAUCAAGUCGAGUGUGAAAGCCCCCCGGCUCAACUGGGGGAGGGUCAUUCGAUACUGAUCGACUCGAAGGCAGGAGAGGGUAGUGGAAUUCCCGGUGUAGUGGUGAAAUGCGUAGAUAUCGGGAGGAACACCAGUGGCGAAGGCGACUACCUGGCCUGUUCUUGACGCUGAGGCGCGAAAGCUAGGGGAGCAAACGGGG
rnacentral:rRNA from 1 species